GUGACCCUAGAAGGCUUCUGUAGAAACCUUUCAUUUUGGCUCAAGCACCAGGCUGUGAUGUUUCUCUGAGCCAAGAUGGCUUCUGAGCAGGCAGGGAUUUGGAAACAGGUGUGCAUUACUGAGCGAGCACACCUGGCCGUUCCACAUGACGAUUCUAGGGCUUUGAGGAUAGGUUCCCAUAGAAUUAGUCAAGCCCCUGUAAUUAAUGAUGAGGCUUAUAAAAGCGAAGCCUGGGUGGAAAACAUUUAGGUUUUGCUUUGUGUUGGAGAAGACCAUGAGAACUAUUUAUUGUGAAGGGUUGGAGGAUCAUAAGGAAAGCUGUAUACCAGGAAGAGCCCAUUUGUGCUCCUGUUUUUGGGAUACAGAAACCCAGCUUGACAGAGCUGCACAAUUGGUGAGAUGAGAUCCCUACACUAAAACUCCAGACCUGAAAGCUUCUUUCCCUGGGAAGGAGAGAUCCUGCACCAUGAGCUUGUUGGAGGACACAGCUGCCACAAUGCAAGGACAUCUUCCUUUCCAUACUGACUCCUGUCUAGAUUGACCUUGUGCUUUACACCAGUACAUGGUUUUGACUCAAAAGCCACAUAGAGUAUUGACUCAAUAUUACUUGCUGAAUGUCUGUCUUGCAUAUUCACACACCUACCAAAGGACUUGGGGAAAAGGACCUGCAUCCAGGUAAGAGGGGCCCAGCGCCACCUGUAGGACCCAGCUGAGACUGUGCACCCUGGCCUGGAGGAGACCCGGUGGACACAGCGCUGGAUUUUAACUUCUCCGGCUGAAUUCUUCAAUAGUUAAUUAACUGCCGAUUUUGCGCCUUUGCUUUUCGCCCCAAAAUGAACCAGCAUUUAAGAGAACUGGUUUCUUACUUCAUCUCAUUUGAUCAAGUUAAGAUAAAAACAGAAUUGCAAACAUAUCCCAGGUAGUCUUAAUGUUAACACAGAAUGCUAAUAAGUACGAUAAAAGUGAUAUAAACAAUUAAAUGCCAUGUUCUAUAAUAGAGCAAGGGUGUAUAUGAUAACUAUAUAAGAAAAGCUUUUAAAGUGUUUAAUGAAAGUCUAGAAAAGUGUGUGGACGGAAAUUCAUCCAGAAGUGGUGUUUUAAUUAGCUCUGAUCUGUUUACCAGAUCAGGAAUCAGAAUAUCGAAUUCUGCUUCGUAUUAAGUUAGAAGUCAGCAAUGACUGACAUCUGUAUUGUCCUGAUUAGGGACAAGAUUAACAUCGACCAGGGAAAUUGAUUUUACAUGAAGCUUUUUUGAAAAUGAAAGCUCUCUAGAUUAACUAUUGGUGUGUGUGUGAGUAAGGUGUUACAGUAUAUCCAUGUCCUGUACUUUUCACUGUAUCGCACAGUGUAG